GACGAACGCUGGCGGCGUGCUUAACGCAUGCAAGUCGAACGGAAAGGCCCUGCUUUUGUGGGGUGCUCGAGUGGCGAACGGGUGAGUAACACGUGAGUAACCUGCCCUUGACUUUGGGAUAACUUCAGGAAACUGGGGCUAAUACCGGAUAGGAGCUCCUGCUGCAUGGUGGGGGUUGGAAAGUUUCGGCGGUUGGGGAUGGACUCGCGGCUUAUCAGCUUGUUGGUGGGGUAGUGGCUUACCAAGGCUUUGACGGGUAGCCGGCCUGAGAGGGUGACCGGCCACAGUGGGACUGAGAUACGGCCCAGACUCCAUCGGGAGGCAGCAGUGGGGAAUAGUGCACAAUGGGCGGAAGCCUGAUGCAGCAACGCCGCGUGCGGGAUGACGGCCUUCGGGUAGUAAACCGCUUUCGCCUGUGACGAAGCGUGAGUGACGGUAAUGGGGAAAGAAGCACCGGCUAACUACGU
rnacentral:rRNA from 1 species